CAAUAGCGUAUAUUUAAGUUGCUGCAGUUAAAAAGCUCGUAGUUGGAUUUCGGGUGGGAAUGGCCGGUCCGCCGUUUCGGUGUGCACUUGCUACGCCCACCUUGCUGCCGGGGACGUGCUCUUGAGUUCACGCUCGGGACACGGAGUCGGCGAGGUUACUUUGAGUAAAUUAGAGUGUUCAAAGCAGGCCUACGCUCUGAAUACAUUAGCAUGGAAUAACACGAUAGGACUCUGGCCUAUCUUGUUGGUCUGUAGGACCGGAGUAAUGAUUAAGAGGGACAGUCGGGGGCAUUCGUAUUUCAUUGUCAGAGGUGAAAUUCUUGGAUUUAUGAAAGACAAACUGCUGCGAAAGCGUCUGCCAAGGAUGUUUUCAUUGA
rnacentral:rRNA from 1 species